rnacentral:tRNA from 2 species
GGGUCGGUAGCUCAGCUGGUAGAGCAGUGGACUUUUAAUCCAUUGGUCGUGGGUUCGAACCCCGCCCGGCCUACCA